rnacentral:rRNA from 1 species
GAUGAACGCUGGCGGCGUGCCUAAUACAUGCAAGUCGAGCGAACGGACGAGAAGCUUGCUUCUCUGAUGUUAGCGGCGGACGGGUGAGUAACACGUGGAUAACCUACCUAUAAGACUGGGAUAACUUCGGGAAACCGGAGCUAAUACCGGAUAAUAUUUUGAACCGCAUGGUUCAAAAGUGAAAGACGGUCUUGCUGUCACUUAUAGAUGGAUCCGCGCUGCAUUAGCUAGUUGGUAAGGUAACGGCUUACCAAGGCAACGAUGCAUAGCCGACCUGAGAGGGUGAUCGGCCACACUGGAACUGAGACACGGUCCAGACUCCUACGGGAGGCAGCAGUAGGGAAUCUUUCGCAAUGGGCGAAAGCCUGACGGAGCAACGCCGCGUGAGUGAUGAAGGUCUUCGGAUCGUAAAACUCUGUUAUUAGGGAAGAACAUAUGUGUAAGUAACUGUGCACAUCUUGACGGUACCUAAUCAGAAAGCCACGGCUAACUACGUGCCAGCAGCCGCGGUAAUACGUAGGUGGCAAGCGUUAUCCGGAAUUAUUGGGCGUAAAGCGCGCGUAGGCGGUUUUUUAAGUCUGAUGUGAAAGCCCACGGCUCAACCGUGGAGGGUCAUUGGAAACUGGAAAACUUGAGUGCAGAAGAGGAAAGUGGAAUUCCAUGUGUAGCGGUGAAAUGCGCAGAGAUAUGGAGGAACACCAGUGGCGAAGGCGACUUUCUGGUCUGUAACUGACGCUGAUGUGCGAAAGCGUGGGGAUCAAACAGGAUUAGAUACCCUGGUAGUCCACGCCGUAAACGAUGAGUGCUAAGUGUUAGGGGGUUUCCGCCCCUUAGUGCUGCAGCUAACGCAUUAAGCACUCCGCCUGGGGAGUACGACCGCAAGGUUGAAACUCAAAGGAAUUGACGGGGACCCGCACAAGCGGUGGAGCAUGUGGUUUAAUUCGAAGCAACGCGAAGAACCUUACCAAAUCUUGACAUCCUUUGACAACUCUAGAGAUAGAGCCUUCCCCUUCGGGGGACAAAGUGACAGGUGGUGCAUGGUUGUCGUCAGCUCGUGUCGUGAGAUGUUGGGUUAAGUCCCGCAACGAGCGCAACCCUUAAGCUUAGUUGCCAUCAUUAAGUUGGGCACUCUAAGUUGACUGCCGGUGACAAACCGGAGGAAGGUGGGGAUGACGUCAAAUCAUCAUGCCCCUUAUGAUUUGGGCUACACACGUGCUACAAUGGACAAUACAAAGGGCAGCGAAACCGCGAGGUCAAGCAAAUCCCAUAAAGUUGUUCUCAUGUUCGGAUUGUAGUCUCCAACUCCACCACAUGAACCAGGAAUCGCUAGUAAUCGCAGAUCAGCAUCCUUCAAAGAAUACGUUCCCGGGUCU